CACCUCUAGCAUAACAAGUAUUAGAGGCAUUGCCUGCCCAGUGACUGUAGUUAAACGGCCGCGGUAUCCUGACCGUGCAAAGGUAGCAUAAUCACUUGUUCCUUAAUUAGGGACUUGUAUGAACGGCUAAACGAGGGUCCAACUGUCUCUUAUUUUCGAUCAGUGAAAUUGACCUUCCAGUGAAGAGGCUGGAAUCUCAAAAUAAGACGAGAAGACCCUAUGGAGCUUAAAUUAAUAAACUUAAAUAUUCAUUCCCCAUACACCUAACGGAAUAAAAAUAGAAAUAGUAAGUUUAAAAUUUUGGUUGGGGUGACCUCGGAGAACAGAAAAUCCUCCGAACGAUUAUAACAUAGACUAACAAGUCAAAGUAAACUAACUUUCCAAUUGACCCAAAACAAUUUGAUCAACGGACCAAGUUACCCUAGGGAUAACAGCGCAAUCCUAUUUAAGAGUCCAUAUCGACAAUAGGGUUUACGACCUCGAUGUUGGAUCAGGACAUCCCAAUGGUGCAGAAGCUAUUAAUGGUUCGUUUGUUCAACG
rnacentral:rRNA from 1 species